UGGCUCAGAUGGUAAAGUGUCUGCCUGCAAUGCAGGAGACCCAGGUUCGAUCCCUGG
rnacentral:tRNA from 1 species